CCCUUAGAUGUUCUGGGCCGCUCGCGCGCUACACUGAUGAAUUCAACGAGCCUAGCCUUGUCCGAAAGGUCCGGGUAAUCUCUGAAACUUCAUCGUGAUGGGGAUAGAUCAUUGCAAUUAUUGAUCUUCAACGAGGAAUUCCUAGUAAGCGCAAGUCAUCAGCUUGCGUUGAUUACGUCCCUGCCCUUUGUACACACCGCCCGUCGCUUGUACCGAUUGGAUGGUCCGGUGAAAUCUUCGGAUAGCUGGUAGUUGGCUUGCCAUCUACUGCUAAAAGUUGCUUAAACCUUAUCAUCUAGAGGAACAAGAAGUCGUAACA
rnacentral:rRNA from 1 species